AUUCAGCAAUGGAUUUCUUAGUGGCGAACGGGUGAGUAACGCGUAGACAACCUGCCUCCAAGAUGGGGACAACACCGCGAAAGUGGUGCUAAUACCGAAUGUUCUUUUUGUGGCGCAUGCCGGAAAAAGCAAAGGUGGCCUCUAUAUAAAAGCUACCGCUUGGAGAUGGGUCUGCGUCUGAUUAGCUAGUUGGUGAGGUAACGGCUCACCAAGGCGACGAUCAGUAGCUGGUCUGAGAGGAUGAUCAGCCACAUUGGGACUGAGACACGGCCCAAACUCCUACGGGAGGCAGCAGUGGGGAAUAUUGGACAAUGGGCGCAAGCCUGAUCCAGCCAUGCCGCGUGAGUGAUGAAGGUCUUAGGAUUGUAAAGCUCUUUCACCGGUGAAGAUAAUGACGGUAACCGGAGAAGAAGCCCCGGCUAACUUCGUGCCAGCCGCCGCAGUAA
rnacentral:rRNA from 1 species